UUUGUCUGCUGUCUCCGGGCCUGCUUCAGCGCGCCCGCCUCCACGUCAGCCGCGGAUGUGGCCGUGCCCUGGGCGUCCUCCUCGCGGGAUGCACUCGUCUCUUUUUCGGCCAAUGAUGUGGCUGUUCCGUGGCCGCCCGCCCCGCCAGUUCCAGCGGCGCUCUACGCGCCGUCGCCACCUGACUUUCCCUCGCUGGCUGCGGGGACACAAGGGAACAUCUGGUAUCUGUUCCUUGAGGGGGAGGUCCUGUAACGAUCUGUCACUUACUUUCUGAUAGUUUUUCGUGUUUUGUACUUUGUUUCCUGUUCAGUGCUCUUAUUUUGUCAUACUUCCUGUUUACUCCGCUGAGCACUGUUUUUGUCACACUCGCCGUUGAUUGGCAGCGGUCCUCAGCUGCGGUCAAUCAACAGGUCUAUUUAUGUUUCACUCGAGCACUCCUCAGUGCUCGAAGUUAAACCUAUGUUGGGAACAUCUCCAUGCAAGACUGCUUUCUGUUUAUAUCUUUUACUUUGAUGAAAUUAAAAUCAUCUUACCUGC